GAUGAACGCUGGCGGCGUGCCUAAUACAUGCAAGUCGAACGCUGGAAAUCUAGCUUGCUAGAUUGAAGGAGUGGCGAACGGGUGAGUAAUACAUAAGCAACCUACCCACGAAGACUGGGAUAAUCUCUGGAAACGGGGACUAAUACCGGAUAGGUAAUCGGAAGGCAUCUUCUGAUUAUUAAAGGUUAAAAACACUGGUGGAUGGGCUUAUGGCGCAUUAGUUAGUUGGUGAGGUAACGGCCCACCAAGACGAUGAUGCGUAGCCGGCCUGAGAGGGUGAAAGGCCACAUUGGGACUGAGACACGGACCAGACUCCUACGGGAGGCAGCAGUAGGGAAGUUUAGGCAAUGGGGGAAACCCUGACCGAGCAACGCCGCGUGAGUGAUGACGGCCUUCGGGUUGUAAAGCUCUGUUGUAAGGGAAGAACGGUAGAUAGAGAAUAUCUAAAUGACGGUACCUUACCAGAAAGCCACGGCUAACUACGUG
rnacentral:rRNA from 1 species